rnacentral:rRNA from 1 species
UUAAGCCAUGCGAGUCGCGAGUCUUAGGGACUCGGCGUACCGCUCAGUAACACGUGGGUAACCUGCCCUAUGCUGGGGGAUAACCUCGGGAAACUGAGAAUAAUACCCCAUAGUUCACCACGCCUGGAACGGUGGGUGGACCAAAGCUCCGGCGGCAUAGGAUGGGCCUGCGGCGUAUCAGGUUGUAGGGGGUGUAAUGUACCCUCUAGCCCUCUACGCGUACGGGUGUUGAGAGACAUCGCCUGGAGAUGGAUUCUGAGACACGAAUCCAGACCCUACGGGGUGCAGCAGGCGCGAAAACUUGGCAAUGCGAGAAAUCGUGACCAGGGAACUCCAAGUGCAUCGGGUAAGACCGAUGCUUUUCUUGACUCUUCAAAGGUCUUGGAAUAAGGGGUGGGUAAGGACGGUGCCAGCCGCCGCGGUAAUACCGGCGCCCCAAGUGGUAGUCGCUUUUAUUGGGCCUAAAACGUCCGUAGCCGGUCUGGUACAUUCGUGGGUAAAUCAACCAGCUCAACUGGUUGAAUUCUGCGAGCACGGCCAGACUUGGGACCGGGAGAGGUGUGGGGUACUCUCAGGGUAGGGGUAAAAUCCUGUCAUCCUGAGGGGACCACCUGUUGCGAAGGCGCCACACUAGAACGGAUCCGACGGUCAGGGACGAAGCCUAGGGGCACGAACCGGAUUAGAUACCCGGGUAGUCCUAGGUGUAAACGCUGUGGACUUGAUGUUGGGGGCGCUCCGAGCGCACUCAGUGUCGAAGCGAAGGUGAUAAGUCCACUGCCUGGGGAGUACGGUCGCAAGGCUGAAACUUAAAGGAAUUGGCGGGGGAGCACCGCAACCUGAGGAUUGUGCGGUUUAAUUGGAUCAACGCCGGG